rnacentral:rRNA from 1 species
CUUGACGACCAUAGAGCAUCGGAACCACCUGAUCCCAUCCCGAACUCAGUAGUGAAACGAUGCAUCGCCGAUGGUAGUGUGGGGUUUCCCCAUGUGAGAGUAGGUCAUCGUCAAGA